rnacentral:rRNA from 1 species
CCAAUAGCGUAUAUUAAAGUUGUUGCAGUUAAAAAGCUCGUAGUUGAAUUUCGGGAUCAAUAUAUUGGUCGUGCCUUGGUACGUACUAAUUUAUUGGUCUCUUCCUUCUGACGAACCAUGAUGUCAUUAAUUUGGUGUUAUGGGGAAUCAGGACUGUUACUUUGAAAAAAUUAGAGUGUUUAAAGCAGGCUCACGCUUGAAUAAAUUAGCAUGGAAUAAUGAAAUAGGACGUUUGAUUCUAUUUUGUUGGUUUCUAGGAUCGACGUAAUGAUUAAUAGGGAUAGUUGGGGGCAUUAGUAUUCAAUUGUCAGAGGUGAAAUUCUUGGAUUUAUUGAAGACUAACUACUGCGAAAGCAUUUGCCAAGGAUGUUUUCAUUAAUCAAGAACGAAAGUUAGGGGAUCGAAGACGAUCAGAUACCGUCGUAGUCUUAACCAUAAACUAUGCCGACUAGGGAUCGGAUGAUGUUAAUUUUUUAAUGACUCAUUCGGCGCCUUACG